rnacentral:rRNA from 1 species
UACGUAGGCAGCGAGCGUUGUUCGGAGUUACUGGGCGUAAAGGGUGUGUAGGCGGUUGUUUAAGUUUGGUGUGAAAUCUCCCGGCUCAACUGGGAGGGUGCGCCGAAUACUGAAUGACUAGAGUGCGGGAGAGGAAAGUGGAAUUCCUGGUGUAGCGGUGAAAUGCGUAGAUAUCAGGAGGAACACCAAUAGCGAAGGCAGCUCGCUGGGACGUUACUGACACUGAGGCGCGAAAGCGUGGGGAGCGAACAGG